rnacentral:rRNA from 1 species
AACGAACGCUGGCGGCAUGCCUAACACAUGCAAGUCGAACGAGACCUUCGGGUCUAGUGGCGCACGGGUGCGUAACGCGUGGGAACCUGCCCUUAGGUUCGGAAUAACUCCCCGAAAGGGGUGCUAAUACCGGAUAAUGUCUUCGGACCAAAGAUUUAUCGCCUUUGGAUGGGCCCGCGUUGGAUUAGCUAGUUGGUAGGGUAAAAGCCUACCAAGGCGACGAUCCAUAGCUGGUCUGAGAGGAUGAUCAGCCACACUGGGACUGAGACACGGCCCAGACUCCUACGGGAGGCAGCAGUGGGGAAUAUUGGACCAUGGGCGAAACCCUGAUCCAGCAAUGCCGCGUGAGUUAUGAAGGCCUUAGGGUUGUAAAGCUCUUUUACCCGGGAUGAUAAUGACAGUACCGGGAGAAUAAGCUCCGGCUAACUCCGUG